AAACCAUGGUGGGGACAUUGUCUUAACAAACUUUUGAAUCUAUCUCAUGCUUUAAAUAGUGAUUCUCUAUCUACCUGAGCAAAGUUUGUAAUGCAAUUCCUCAUGU